ACGGCCAGAGAUGGUCGCCCCCUUGUGGUCGGUGUACAGGUGGUGCAUGGUUGUCGUCAGCUCGUGUCGUGAGAUGUUGGGUUAAGUCCCGCAACGAGCGCAACCCUCGUUCUAUGUUGCCAGCGCGUUAUGGCGGGGACUCAUAGGAAACUGCCGGGGUCAACUCGGAGGAAGGUGGGGAUGACGUCAAAUCAUCAUGCCCCUUAUGUCUUGGGCUUCACGCAUGCUACAAUGGCCGGUACAAAGGGCUGCGAUACCGUAAGGUGGAGCGAAUCCCAAAAAGCCGGUCUCAGUUCGGAUUGAGGUCUGCAAUUCGACCUCAUGAAGUCGGAGUCGCUAGUAAUCGCAGAUCAGCAACGCUGCGGUGAAUACGUUCCCGGGUCUUGUACACACCGA
rnacentral:rRNA from 1 species